GGGGCCGGGCCUAACACUGGCAAUUCAAAGGGAUGGGGAGCUUACUUUAGUGCUAAGGUCUAAAUUAUAAGUUCUAAUUUGGGGACCCACUCUGCGACGAUAUAUAUCAUCCCGGAAGGAUUCCAACAAUUGAAAUUUAAAACUCAAACUUUAGAAUUCAAGCACGAAUUGCGACAGUGGCAGACGGCUGAGUAAUACCUUGGUACCUACCCCAAAGUGGGGGAUCGCUCAUACAAAGAUGGGGUAAUCCCGCAAGUGCUCUAACCAGUAAAGCUUUCGGGCGCUUUGGGAGGGGCCUUUGACCUAUCAGUUUGUUGGUGAGGUAAUGGCUCACCAAGACUAUGACGCGUACCUGGAUCGAGAGGUUGACCAGCCCCACUGGGACUGAGACACCACCCAUACUCCUACAGGAGGCAGCAGUGAGGAAUUUUCGCCAGUGGGCGAAAGCCUGAUGGAGCGACACCCCGUGAACGAUGAAGCUUUUCUGAGUGUAAACUUCUUUUAUGUGGGAAUAUUAUGACUUUACCACAUGAGUAAGGACCGUGUAACUACGUGCCAGCAACC
rnacentral:rRNA from 1 species